rnacentral:rRNA from 1 species
AUUGAACGCUGGCGGCAUGCCUUACACAUGCAAGUCGAACGGCAGCACGGGUGCUUGCCCCUGGAGGCGAGUGGCGAACGGGUGAGUAAUACAUCGGAACAUGUCCUGUAGUGGGGGAUAGCCCGGCGAAAGCCGGAUUAAUACCGCAUACGAUCUACGGAUGAAAGCGGGGGACCUUCGGGCCUCGCGCUAUAGGGUUGGCCGAUGGCUGAUUAGCUAGUUGGUGGGGUAAAGGCCUACCAAGGCGACGAUCAGUAGCUGGUCUGAGAGGACGACCAGCCACACUGGGACUGAGACACGGCCCAGACUCCUACGGGAGGCAGCAGUGGGGAAUUUUGGACAAUGGGCGAAAGCCUGAUCCAGCAAUGCCGCGUGUGUGAAGAAGGCCUUCGGGUUGUAAAGCACUUUUGUCCGGAAAGAAAUCCUUGGCCCUAAUACGGUCGGGGGAUGACGGUACCGGAAGAAUAAGCACCGGCUAACUACGUG